UUGUUUAUUAAUAAUAAUAUCGUCUUAGUCAUUAUUUUAUAUUGUAUUUAAAAUGUUUACUUUCCCUUUUUUUCGCCACUCAUACAUAUACGAUUAUAUACAAUUUUAUGUACCUAAUAUCAGCAAUUAAAUAUAUGUUUGUAAUUUAAGAUAAACAUGUUGCAUGUACAUAUAUAUAUAUAUAUAUAUAUAUAUAUAUAUAUAUAUAUACACGUUUAAACAAGUGUGUUAUGUGUUAAUUGAAUUUGUUCAGUUCUAUACAUGUGUUACAAAGGAAGAGUUUCAGUAGUGCAUUUUUCAUAUGAAAAAAAAAAAAAAAAAAAAAAAAAUUGACACGUAAUAUGUGAUUAAAUAAUGUUGAUUAAUGUUUAACAAAGCAAAAGUAUAACUGAUUAAACGUGUUAACAUGUAAACAUAUGCAUAUCUUGCAUAUGUAUAUCUAUUCAUAUGUAUAUGUUUUAUUUAUUUAUUAAUUUAUUUAUUUAUUUAUUUAAUUUUUUUUUAAUUUAAUUUUAGCAAAAAUAGUAUAAAUCAUUUCCUAAGUAUUUUUUACUCUUAUCAUUAUAAAAUCGAAUAAUAUGAAAAAACAUAUUGGAGUAAUACGAAAUUUAUAUGUAUGAAUAUCCUAUGAUUUAUUAGUUUUGUAAUUUCUACUAAUUUAGCUUCAUGGAUUAUUCAGAGUUUGAUGAAGAUGAUGAAGAUUUAUAUGAAGGACUAGAAGCGGACCAAGUGGACACUUUUGAAAAAAAGGAUGUUGAAAAAAAACAAGAUGUUGAAAAAAAACAGGAUGUUGAAAAGAAAAAGGAGGUUGAGCAAACUAUUAAACCAAAAGAAAUAUUUUUUGAAAAAUCCAGAAAAAGUUUAUACAAGAAGUUAAGUUCUUCGAAGAUAACAUAUACCAAAAAAGAGCCGUGUUUGUUUUUGGGAGCACCCCAGGCAACUGAACAGCCCGAAACGGAAGAGAGUAACAACGAAUUUUUAUUGUUGUUAAAUUUGUUAUAUUACAUGAAUGAUUUGUUAAUAAAAAAACAUUGUGAACAAAUUGGGAAAGUUAAAAGAGUAGAAAUAUUAGAAGAUGAAAACACAUGUAAAUCAAUAGGUAUGUGUCUAGUUGAAUUUUAUUUUUUAGAUCACUCACAAAAUUACGUAGGUUAUCUAAAAGAAAAAUUAAGAGUAGAUGUUAAAACAUUAGAUAGUGAUAUAGAAGAACAAAUAAAAGCAGAUAAGUUAUAUAAUUAUGGAGGAUAUUUAAAUUAUAAUAUUAUUGAGUUAAUUAAAAAAAAAUAUUUAGAUUAUUCACAUGUCAAUGAAAACACACAAGAACUAUUAAACAAACCUUUGAGUUUAAAUAAACACCCCUUAUUUACAUGGUUUAAUACGAAUUUAAGUGAUGUUUUAAAUACUUAUGUAAAAACAAAAAUGAAAAAAAAUAAAAAAAAUAAAAUGAACACAGCUAAUGAUUACUCUAAUUUUCAAAUUAAUGAUAAUUCAGACUCGGAUAGUGACAUAUCGUCUCAUGUUAUUGAUUAUGUUUCCAGAAAAAAUAAAGCUCUUUCUGCAAAUAAAAUGUCAUAGCUAUUUAAGCAAUUUAAUUUUUUUUUUUUUUUUUUUUUUUACGUUCUUUCAUAGUAUACUCUAUAUAUCACAUUUUAUAGAAAUCGACCCCUUGUAAUUAUAUGCUAUAACAUAACAUCGUGUUAUGCUUUUCACUGCAUUAUAUAUGUCACAUAUUUUUGUUCUUACAAUGUUGGUUUUUUUUUUUUUUUUUAAAACUGUAACAUAGCUAAGUUGAAUUUUUAAAAUAGUUUUAUAUUGUUGUUAGAGCACAUUUUUUUUUUUUUUUUAAGAAAGACUGUUUAAUAAAUUAUGCAAGCUGUCUAUAGCCUAAUUACA
ensembl:lncRNA